rnacentral:rRNA from 1 species
UGUUUACAACAUAACAUUAAUGUACUAGAUCUCAUUAGAACUUCGCAGUUAAGCAUGCUCAGACUAGAGUAGUAUUGGGAUGGGUGAUCGCCCGAGAAGUCCUAGUGUUUUACAUAC